UACGAAGGGGGCUAGCGUUGCUCGGAAUCCCUGGGCGUAAAGCGCACGUAGGCGGCUUUUUAAGUCAGGGGUGAAAUCCUGGAGCUCAACUCCAGAACUGCCUUUGAUACUGGGAAGCUCGAGUCCGGAAGAGGUGAGUGGAACUCCGAGUGUAGAGGUGAAAUUCGUAGAUAUUCGGAAGAACACCAGUGGCGAAGGCGGCUCACUGGUCCGGUACUGACGCUGAGGUGCGAAAGCGUGGGGAGCAAACAGG
rnacentral:rRNA from 1 species